CUGCAGGCUGCAACUCGCCUGCACGAAGUCGGAAUUGCUAGUAAUCGUAGGUCAGCAUACUACGGUGAAUACGUUCCCGGGACUUGUACACACCGCCCGUCAAACCAUGAGAGUUGGCAACACCCGAAGUCGGUAGUCUAACCGCAAGGAGGACGCCGCCGAAGGUGGGGUUGAUGAUUAGGGUUAAGUCGUAACAAGGUAAC
rnacentral:rRNA from 1 species